GUAUUUUACAAGAGGCUAUUUGUUUCAUACGCAGAGUCAUGGAGCAGGACGUAAGACUUGUAACUAUGGUGUAUGUGUGAAAGGUGAAAAUUAUACGGAUGCAUCUGACGCAGCAGAUUUUUACGGCAACUUAACUGAUAUCAUAGAACUUGAGUAUGAGGGGGUGGUCAGUUUGAAAAUCACACUUUUUAAAUGUUCGUGGUAUGACCCUAAGCUCGGAAGAGGUACUCGGAGGAGCAAUAGUGGUGUUGUCGACGUUCUUUCAUCGAGGAAAUAUAACAAAUACGAACCCUUUAUUUUAGGUACGUAUGGUAUAUAUAUAUGGUCAUUUAGUUUUUCUAGUUCAUAUACAAAUAUCUAAUUCUCCAAAUAUGGUGCAUUUACAAACAACAUCUCAAGCGGAACUAGUGUGCUUUAUUCCUUAUCCAUACACGAAAAAACCAAAGCGGGAGUUGCUCAAUGUUUUAAAAGUAAAUCCAAGGGGAAACAUAUUAGGAGAAUAUGAAAAUAAAGACCCGAGUUUAUUGCAAACAGAAAAUGAUGAUGCUGUUUUAAUAACAACAAUAGAAGAUCUUGUACUCGACAAUUUGACAAUCAAUCGCAACCCCAUAAACCUCGAUUUAGAUGCCGGAGAUGCUGAUCCAGAAGAUGAAUUUCGAUGUAAUUUAUCGUCUUCUGAUGAUGAAGAACAACAAGACGAAGAAUAAUAUUAGUUUUGUGUUUAUGAUAUGUACAUAAGUUAUUUUGAAAUACUAUGCAAACAUUUUUAAA
rnacentral:sRNA from 1 species